rnacentral:lncRNA from 9 species
GGGGAGGGGGGCAGGGGUCUCCACCAGCAACAACCCACCGGCCGCAGUCUGGUUAUCUUGCUUAAUGGCAGGCCACGAGCAAGCCCAUUUUGCAAAAUGGGGAACUGUGGCUCAGAGAGGUUAAGUCAUUUGGCCAGGAUUCCACAGGCAGUGACAAAGCACUUAGCACAAGCUCCGUAAAUAUUUGCUGACAGACAGAAUUCGAAAUAGGGAGGCAACAGAAGAUCUCCAGCUUCUGGGAAUUUCAGGGCCCUCGGGGGUCUGACUAUGUGGUAAAAGGGAGCUGUUGAUUGAGGCCACCCCUCCAGGCUGGGCGAGGGGCAGAGAUGGGGCGUAUGGGGCCAGCUCCAAGGUCAACUGCUCCUGAACCCAAUUCUCCUGCCCAGAUACCUGUCGUCCACCCUAACCCAUCUCAUCCCUCCAUCGUCGCCCGCUGAAAAACCCUCCAGAAAUGGUGCCAAGGUGUGCUUGUGGGGAAUGCACGUUGAUGGCGAAGCAUCUGGGACCAGCGGCAUCAGGUUCUUCUGGAGCAAAGGCAUCUGUCAUCCGGGGCCUCAACCCCGCUUCUCUUGGAUUUGUGUUUGGCAGCACCUGUGGCCUAUGGACGUUCCUGGUCUGGGGAUCGAACCCAUGCUCCUGCAGAGACAACACUGGCUCCUUAACCCAUUGCACCAGAGAGGGAACUCCCCUUUGAUUAUUUAAGAGCUACCUGCCAAGGGCAUAUCUUGUAAGGCACCUUGGUAGUUGUAGAGGAGGAAACUGAUCUUAAAAGAGUUUAUAAUCUAGAAGGAGCAAUAAGACAACAACCACAAAAAUAAGCACAGGUCCACAUAUAUACAGUAUUAACAGACAUAAAUGGCACAAAGAACAUGCUCCCAGAAACCCACGACGGCCAUGGAUGACACCCCUGAAGGGGAAAUCAGGGAGGAGGCGGUAUUCGAGCCGGCUUUCAAGGAGAAGCAGAUAUUCCACAGGCAGAAAGGUGGGACUGGGGGAGAAGGGGUGUGCCUGAAGGAAGAAGCCUCAUGAGCAAACAGGCAGCCACACAGGCGAUCACCAGGCUGGACUGGCUUAGGGUACUGGCAGAGACGGUGUCCUUCAGCUGGGUCCCCGGAGCUUUGAGAAGCAGGAGAAUUCUCUGACCACGCGAAGCUAUGUUUAUGGGUGCACGUGCACUUUUCUGGAGCGAGGGCUCACAGCUCUUUUCCAGUUCUCUAAAGGGUCUGGAGCAGAGGAGAGGUUAAGAACCAGCACUCCCAGGCUCCCGAAUUAGAAUUUCCAGGUGGGUUAAGGCCUCUGUGUUUUUAUUUUUUCUUUUCUUUUCUUUUUUUGUUUUGUUUUUGCACACCUCGGACCUCUAGACAGGCCCAAGGAGGCCUUGACCUGCUAGCCUAACCCGCGCUUCCUUCCCUUGGGCCACGCCGAUCCCCCGCCACCACUUUACAGGAGAAUCACCACCUUCACCCCAGCUUCCACCGCCCCGAGAGACAAAAGCGGGCAAACGGCCAGAGAAACGGAGCGGGACCUCAGGGACUCAGGCAAAGACUCUGGAAUCUCCUUCAGGGAUGGGGUGGGUGGGAGCCUUUCCGCUCCAAGGCUCCAAGGCUGGCCGAGGUCCCCAGCCCCACCGCGGACCCGCGGUCAGAUUCUGGGAAUUUCCAAGCCCG